CUGAAAGGAACAGUGAGACGCUUCUAUACGUGUGAAUGUAUAUCUGUCCCAUUGCUAUGCAAAGAGCCUGAUUUUAAAGUAUAUCUGCCCCAGUCUUGCAAGAAAAUGCCUAAUUUUAAAGUAUAUCUGUCCCAGUCUUACAAGAAAAUACACAGACCUUCAUUUCAGCUGUCCCACUGCUAUGCAAACAGCCUGAUUUUAAAGUAUAUCUCCCCCAGUCUUACAAGAAAAUACACAGACCUUCAUUUCCGCUGUCC